UAUAAAUUAAGAUACAAAUUCUUAAGAAUAUUUUUAUUUCUUCGAUGACUGUAAAUUUUUCAAUGCAUUGUUUACAAGUUCAUUGAUUGUUCCUAUGGGAAUUGUUAACUGGUUGAUGGGUAUCACAUAAUAAACCCUGGGCUAUUUCAACUGGACUAGAUAUCAAGAACAUGAUAAUGAUAUUUGAUCAGUCUCACAGGUAGACAAGAGUUUAAAUAAAAAUUUUUGCGCUGUUGCUAUUUUUAAAAAUAACACUAAAGUUUUUUUUUCCACAGGAAGGUCAUUAUUAUUCAUCCGGAAAUGGUCAAUUAAUAAUAAAUGUAAAUAACUGUAAGCUUUAAGAUUAUUUUGUUAUUCAGUGACACAUCUGAUAACUAUUAAUGAUAAACUCUCUUGGAGAUCGUGAGCAGUAAGAUGUUACGACUAAUUCAUACGAAUCGGUCGACUGACGACGUUUAUCCCACAAAAGAAACUGGAAUCUUAUCGUCUGGUGUAUUAUAUAUGAUAACAUACGCAACUGAACCAGUGUCGAUGGGUAUGUGCGGUGCUUAUCUUUAAGGUUGACAACGAAUCGUGUAUUUAGAAUCCAAGGCACUAGUGGCUUCAUCAAGAAUUACAACUGCUGAAUCUCGAAGUGUUGCUCGUGCCAUGCUUAACAAUUGCAGCUGGCCUGCAGAGAAGUUUUCCCCACCUUCUCGCACCUCCAGAUCUAAUUGAGUCAUCAAGAGUAAUUAAUCUUAGUUUUUUUAUCGAUUACAAUAAUACGACUGAGGUAUUAACAUUUGAAUUGUAAUAGAAUAUUGUUAAAGAUUGCUUUUAUUGUUUUUUAUAAUAAUUCUGAUUAUAAAUUUUUUUAAUAACAAUAAAAAUGUAAUAAGAAAAGAAGAGAUCUAAUAAUUGGUGAU